rnacentral:rRNA from 1 species
AGGCGGAUUAAUCCCGCAUGUGGUCGUGAGAUGGCAUCUGACCACGACUAAAGGGUAUUCCGGUUCGGGAUGGGGAUGCGUCCGAUUAGGCAGCAGGCGGGUGACGGCCACCUGGCCUUCGAUCGGUAGGGUUCUGAGAGGAAGGUCCCCACAUUGGAACUGAGACACGGUCCAAACUCCUACGGGAGGCAGCAGUGAGGAAUAUUGGUCAAUGGGCGCAGGCCUGAACCAGCCAAGUAGCGUGUGGGACGACGGCCCUACGGGUUGUAACCACUUUCGCGGGAUAACAUCCGGGACUUGUCCCGGCUUGCAGGUACCGCGUGAAUAAGGACCGGCUAAUUCCGUGCC